rnacentral:rRNA from 1 species
AACGAACGCUGGCGGCGGGCUUAACACAUGCAAGUCGAGCGCCCCGCAAGGGGAGCGGCAGACGGGUGAGUAACGCGUGGGUAACCUACCUAUAAGACUGGGAUAACAUACCGAAAGGUAUGCUAAUACGAGAUAAUAUACUUUUAUCGCAUGGUAGAAGUAUCAAAGCUUUUGCGGUACAGGAUGGACCCGCGUCUGAUUAGCUAGUUGGUAAGGUAACGGCUUACCAAGGCGACGAUCAGUAGCCGACCUGAGAGGGUGAUCGGCCACAUUGGAACUGAGACACGGUCCAAACUCCUACGGGAGGCAGCAGUGGGGAAUAUUGCACAAUGGGCGAAAGCCUGAUGCAGCAACGCCGCGUGAGCGAUGAAGGCCUUCGGGUCGUAAAGCUCUGUCCUCAAGGAAGAUAAUGACGGUACUUGAGGAGGAAGCCCCGGCUAACUACGUGCCAGCCGCCGCAGUAA